rnacentral:lncRNA from 13 species
GAGGUUGUCGGGUGAAGGACCUUUCAACGAGCCUUCGGCACACACCCAGGGCUGAAGACAUUGAUCCUUGCACACUCACCCUGCUUGCCCACGGCUCUCCAGGACAGCUAGGUCCCCUCUGGCUAAGAGAGAAUGAGGGUGUCAGGCCUCAGGACAGUCUUCCUGAGGGGGCCAGGGCAUUUCACAAAGGACAAAAAUAGACAGGAGAGAGGAGAAAGACAAAGAGAUGGCUCCUGGAAUCCUUUCGGGAAUGAAGGUGUGUGGCCAGCAAGGGCCUCGGAGGAUAUGCAACUUCCUCGUGGACACAAAAUGGCUGCUGCAGCUCCAGGCCACACAUCCACCUUCUGUGUAGACAGAAGUCACUGGGAAAGGCAAGAAGAAAACGAUUCUCCCCUAACAAGAACCUCUCCAGUUUCAGCUUUCUUUGUGGGGCAGUGGAGCGGCAGCGUUCAGUAUUCAGAGAACCCACAGUCACACUCCGCUUAGAGAAGGUUGGCCUCUGGGGAUGUCUUUUGAUCAUCUCUACUCAAUGUGACCAUCUUAAGGCAGGAGGAAGCAACAGAAAGCAGGGAAGCAGGUGCCCCAGCAGGAGCCCAGUGCCAUGGAAAGAUGAGAAAAGAGGUAGCGAAUGAGACCCCGGAUUCUUAGGAACUUUCUCUACUCCGCUGGUGCAGAUGAUGGAGGGUUUGAGGAGUGUCAGUGAAUGCUCUGUGUGGACUGGACUGGGACCAGACUGGGACUGGAACUCUCUUGGUGGGGGACAACUUUGACCAAGACAUCUUUAGGGUCUGCCAAGUCCUCAGCAGGGGUUUUAUGAUGUGCCUUGAGAUUCCCAAAUGAGAAGGGCAGUGGGAUUCUUCCCUCUGCAGCCAGGACCACAUCUGUGCUUUUUCGUAAUUGUGGAGGGGGAGAAACAAAGGUCUUCCAAAAUUUUCUGAUGGAAUAUAUGCUCAGAGCCCUAAAAAAGAAAAAGAAAUGAGUAGAAGGAGAACAAAAAUGAUCUGGAGUUCCAGUCCCCGCAAAUGAGCAUGGUUAACAUUUCUUCUAGACUUCUAAUGUAUUCAGACACAUGCACUUUCCGCCCCCAUACUGUACAUAUUGUCUCUUAAUCUGCAUCUUUUUCACUUAAAAUAUGUCAUGCACACCUCGGCAUGUCAAUAAAUAUAGAAGAAUGUCGUCCCUUUUAAAGUUC